rnacentral:rRNA from 1 species
AGCGGUAAACAGAUCCAGCUUGCUGGAUGCUGACGAGCGGCGGACGGGUGAGUAAUGCAUAGGAAUCUGCCCGAUAGUGGGGGAUAACCUGGGGAAACCCAGGCUAAUACCGCAUACGUCCUACGGGAGAAAGGGGGCUCCGGCUCCCGCUAUGGGAUGAGCCUAUGUCGGAUUAGCUAGUUGGUGAGGUAACGGCUCACCAAGGCCACGAUCCGUAGCUGGUCUGAGAGGAUGAUCAGCCACAUCGGGACUGAGACACGGCCCGAACUCCUACGGGAGGCAGCAGUGGGGAAUAUUGGACAAUGGGGGCAACCCUGAUCCAGCCAUGCCGCGUGUGUGAAGAAGGCCCUCGGGUUGUAAAGCACUUUCAGCGAGGAAGAACGCCUAGCGGUUAAUACCCGC